rnacentral:tRNA from 1 species
GGUAAUGUGGUUUAGUGGUAGAAUGUUUGACUGGCAUACAUGAAACCCUGGGUUCAAUUCCUCAGUACCA